AGUUAAAAGCUCGUAGUUGGAUUUCUGUGGGGACGGAGCGGCCGGCCGCAACUCGCGGUUCGAGCUAGCGCUUUCCCUACAUCCUGCCGCGAACCGUGCUACCAUUAGUUUGGUGGCGCCGGGGAUCGGCUCGUUUACUUUGAGAAAAAUAGAGUGUUCAAAGCAGGCCACACGCCUUGAAUAAGUUAGCAUGGAAUAAUAACUAAGGACUUCGGUUCUAUUUUGUUGGUGUUCGGGACUGAAGUAAUGAUUGAUAGGGACAGUUGGGGCGGUCCGUAUUCCAAAGCGAGAGGUGAAAUUCUUAGACCUUCGGAAGACGAACAGCUGCGAAAGCGUCCCGCAAGGAUGUUCCCUUUGAUCAAGAACGAAAGUUGGGGGAUCGAAGACGAUCAGAUACCGUCGUAGUCUCAACUAUAAACUAUACCAGCUAGGGAUCGGCCAACGUUAUUCUAUACCGACUUGGUCGGCACCUUAUGAGAAAUCAAAGCAUCUGGUUCCGGGGGGAGUAUGGUCGCAAGGCGGAAACUUAAAGGAAU
rnacentral:rRNA from 1 species